rnacentral:rRNA from 1 species
CACGUAGGGGGCAAGCGUUGUCCGGAUUUAUUGGGCGUAAAGAGCUCGUAGGCGGUUCGGUAAGUCGGGUGUGAAACCUCCAGGCUCAACCUGGAGACGCCACCCGAUACUGCUGUGACUAGAGUCCGGUAGGGGAGCGUGGAAUUCCUGGUGUAGCGGUGAAAUGCGCAGAUAUCAGGAGGAACACCGGUGGCGAAGGCGGGUCUCUGGGCCGAUACUGACGCUGAGGAGCGAAAGCAUGGGUAGCGAACAGG